UACAGAGGUGGCGAGCGUUGUUCGGAUUUACUGGGCGUAAAGGGUGCGUAGGUGGUCUCGUAUGUCGGAUGUGAAAUCCCACUGCUCAACGGUGGAACGGCAUCGGAAACUGCGAGACUCGAGUGCAGGAGGGGAGAGCGGAAUUCUUGGUGUAGCGGUGAAAUGCGUUGAUAUCAAGAAGAACACCGGUGGCGUAGGCGGCUCUCUGGAAUGCAACUGACACUGAGGCACGAAAGCUAGGGGAG
rnacentral:rRNA from 1 species